UACGUAGGGUGCGUGCGUUGUCCGGAUUUAUUGGGCGUAAAGAGCUCGUAGGCGGUUUGUCGCGUCGGCCGUGAAAUCUCCACGCUUAACGUGGAGCGUGCGGUCGAUACGGGCAGACUUGAGUUCGGUAGGGGAGACUGGAAUUCCUGGUGUAGCGGUGAAAUGCGCAGAUAUCAGGAGGAACACCAGCGGCGAAGGCGGCGCUCUGGGCCGGAACUGACGCUGAGGAGCGAAAGCGUGGGUAGCAAACAGG
rnacentral:rRNA from 1 species